rnacentral:ncRNA from 1 species
CGUCUAAACCGUGACUGGCGCGUUGGGUGGAAGGACCACCGGGGAGCGAGUGGCGGAGGCCGUGCGCCUGGGUCUUCGCC